rnacentral:rRNA from 1 species
UACGUAGGGUGCAAGCGUUGUCCGGAAUUAUUGGGCGUAAAGAGCUCGUAGGCGGCUUGUCGCGUUGUUCGUGAAAAUUUACCGCUCAACGGUGAACUUGCGGGCGAUACGGGCAGGCUAGAGUACUGCAGGGGAGACUGGAAUUCCUGGUGUAGCGGUGAAAUGCGCAGAUAUCAGGAGGAACACCGGUGGCGAAGGCGGGUCUCUGGGCCGUAACUGACGCUGAGGAGCGAAAGCGUGGGGAGCGAACAGGA